UUUGACCUCAUGAAACAAUCUGUGGCACACGUGCGUCAUCAAGAAAGGUUGUUGUUGUUGUUGUUGUCCUCGUUUUACGAUGACGCCAGUUUAACUUUAAGUGUUAUGGACCAUUGUAUGCACAGACCAAGGGAGGUGUCGUGAGAUGGAUGACAGCAUAGAAAUGGAACUGGCCAGUUUGGCUUCAGCAGAGAGGGACAGAUCCUUCCUCCUGGUUAAGGGUCUGGGAGGGGCUGUUUGUCUCACUUACAUGGUGAACACAGCUCUGGUCUUUCCUUGGUAUAGAAGGAGCCAGGUGUGCGGAGUGCUGAGGCUUCUACAGGGCAGGAAGGGCACCGUAGUUGAUCUGGGUAGUGGUGAUGGCAGACUUGUGAGUCAUGGGUAGAACAGCAGGCAAUGUGAGGCCAGGCUGAAAAAGAGAAGGAGUAGACAUUGUCUGGAACAAGAAAAAUUCUGGCCACUACCGUACGGUACCAAAAUUAUGGAGAUCAGUUUCAAGUGCAUUUAGCAUGCACAUUCAUGCACAUUCAAGCUUGCAUUUAGCAUGCAAGUGGAUUUUUCAAAUAAGAGAAGAAUACACAAGGCCCCAGCAAGGGGAAUCAGAUGUUAGCCUAGAAUCAGUAUGAAAGGAAUACUGAUACCUUAUGACUCCUUCUCUUUCUUCAGCUGUCUACAACUUUCUCCACGGAGACCUGCCAAUAGCAAUGCUUUCUCCAUGCUGCUGUUCCUGUGGAGACUGCCAGGGGUCUAGCCAGCACCUGUUAUUUGGUCAUUUGAUAGAAUUUUGCUGCGUACGUAGGAAAGAAAAAUCUAAAGUCUGUUCCAUCAAUCUGGUUCUACAAAACUCAGUGAUGAUAAUAAUUAUAUUAGCUAUCCAAAUAGGACUAAACUCUGCCCAAACACAGGCCUGCAAAUUGAACAGCGAUAGAAAUUUGUAUGUGAUGAAAAGCAAAGUCACAUUCCCCUUUUUUGGGAAUAGAGAUGGAAAUGUUUCAAGCUGGCUAAAGCCCUGGUUUAUACCUUUAUUCCUUAUGUAACAAUAGUGUUCAGAACUCUACUGUAUUGAUGGUGUAUGUUCCAUCAAUUUGACCUGUCAGGUCUCCGCUGCCCUAUGUCCCAUCCGGACGACCGCAGGUAGACCGUGUCCUCAGACUGCUGGAAGGCAGACCUGGAAAGGUCGCUGACCUAGGCAGUGGGGAUGGGCGCAUUGUAAGUAGCAGGUUUAGACCUGAAUGUAUGCCCCACGUAGCCUUCUGCAUAACAGCAGCUUUUCUGGUCUUGUCAUUUUUAUUGUGGCUUACCUUUAUGGAAUAUUUUAUUGCUCAUGUUGUUAAUGUAUGACAACAAAUGUAUUUUGAGCAUGCAAUUUUUUCUUUGUACCAAUCUUAUUUCUUCCUAAAGAAUUGAAAGCUGAAAGCUUAUGACUAUGUAUUUUUCCUUUAACGUGAGCUUGCUAGCCAUGUGAAGUUUGUACUUUGAUCCCUUUUUCAUAGACAUAGGGCAACAUUAAAACGUGCUGUGUGCUGUAUGGAAUGCAAUUCAAAAUAUGUAUGCUUGACCACCUACCUUGCUUCCUCAGUCUCUGAGGCUGCAUACAACUGAGUCUAGUGAGUGGUUACAAUUUUACAACACUUCUGAAUGGUUUGCAGUGUGUUUAGCAAGGCUUAGAAACGUUUAAGUAGAUGACUGAACAAUUGAACCUUUGAUAUAAAUGUGUAAAGCAUGUAACUAAGAUUUUCCACAUUUGGAGGAUACUCAAGGCUAAAAUACAAAUGUAAUAGAUUUCAUUAACCUUAAAAAAAUGAUUUUUCCUCUUUCUUGCACUAUCCAUUUUUUGUGUGACUGUCUGCAUGGAUAUAUUACCUCCCAUGCAGAGCCUCGCCCAUACAAUACUAGUAUACCCUGGGAGGCGGGGGCUCUGUGUUAAACUGGGCUGAUGAGGUUUUCAGGCUUUUAUGGGAUUGGCCUCUAACCGGCUGUCUGCCAAUCAGAGUAUUGAUUUUACUUGAAGAUUAUACUUGGGCGAUUCUCAGCCGGUUAGAGGCCACACUCACGAAGUGCAAACUUCAGCCCAGUUUUAUAGCAGAACCUCCCCUAGGUAGCCUGGUAUCUAAACCCAUUGUAGCUGCUGAGCCUCUUCUUCCUGAGCUUUUGCAAAUUAG